AACGAACGCUGGCGGCAGGCCUAACACAUGCAAGUCGAACGCGCGUAGCAAUACGCGAGUGGCGCACGGGUGAGUAACACGUGGGAAUCAACCCAGAGGUUCGGAAUAACCGCGGGAAACUGCGGCUAAUACCGGAUAUCCCCUACGGGGGAAAGAUUUAUCGCCUUUGGACGAGCCCGCGUCCGAUUAGCUAGUUGGUGAGGUAAUGGCUCACCAAGGCUACGAUCGGUAGCUGGUCUGAGAGGACGACCAGCCACACUGGAACUGAGACACGGUCCAGACUCCUACGGGAGGCAGCAGUGGGGAAUAUUGGGCAAUGGAGGCAACUCUGACCCAGCCAUGCCGCGUGGGUGACGAAGGUCUUCGGAUUGUAAAGCCCUUUCGGCGGGGACGAUGAUGACGGUACCCGCAGAAGAAGCCCCGGCUAACUUCGUGCCAGCAGCCGCGGUAAUACGAAGGGGGCUAGCGUUGUUCGGAAUUACUGGGCGUAAAGGGCGUGUAGGCGGCCCGUUAAGUCAGGUGU
rnacentral:rRNA from 1 species